GACGAACGCUGGCGGCGCGCUUAACACAUGCAAGUCGAGCGAGAAAGGGCUUCGGCCCCGGUAAAGCGGCGCACGGGUGAGUAACACGUAGGUAAUCUGCCCUCAGGUGGUGGAUAACUUUCCGAAAGGAAGGCUAAUACAGCAUGAGACCACGGUUCCGAAAGGGACAGGGGUCAAAGCAGGCCAAUUCAUGAAAGCUGGUGCCAGAGGAUGAGCCUGCGGCCCAUCAGCUAGUUGGUGGGGUAAUGGCCUACCAAGGCGAAGACGGGUAGCUGGUCUGAGAGGAUGAUCAGCCACAAUGGAACUGAGACACGGUCCAGACUCCUACGGGAGGCAGCAGUGGGGAAUCUUGCGCAAUGGGCGAAAGCCUGACGCAGCGACGCCGCGUGAGUGAUGAAGGCCCUCGGGUUGUAAAGCUCUGUGGAGGGGGACGAAUAAGGGUUGGCUAAUACCCAACUUGAUGACGGUACCCCUUUAGCAAGCACCGGCUAACUACGUGCCAGCAGCCGCAGUAAAAC
rnacentral:rRNA from 1 species